rnacentral:rRNA from 1 species
AUGUGCAAUUUCCACAUGAACGUUGAGGUGUGCUCUAGCAUAAAGGCCGUCAAAUACCUUUACAAGUACAUUUACAAGGGCCAUGAUAAGACUUCUUUCAGCAUCGACCAGCCCGAUGCCGAUGGUAACAUUGAUGAGAUCAAGAGAUAUGUUGACGCAAGGGUUGCAUUCAAUGCGCAGGCUGACUUCAAGAAUGUUGUCGCCUCCGAAAAUGCUUCAAAAUCCAUGUUAACGGAGUAUUUCAAGGCUAACCAAAAACACCCUUGGGCUAGGCAUAUAUUGUACAAGGAUUUUCCCGGAAGCUUGACGUGGGAGAAGAGAAAGAAGUUUUGGAAGCCGCGGGUGGAGCGUUUUCAAAUAGGUUGUAUCGUGUCUGCCAAUCCUGCCGAGGGGGAGCGAUACUACCUGCGUGUGUUGCUAAACCAUGUUAUGGGCAAAACAUCAUUCGAGGACUUGGCCACCGUGGACGGCAUGAUAUGUGGGAGCUUUAGAGAGGCUACUGAAAGGUUGGGACACAUCGAGGCAGACAACACGCUCGACGACUGUCUUACGGAGGCGGAACAGUGGGGGAUGCCAUGUUCUCUUAGGAGGCUCUUCGCAACCAUCUUGGUGCACUGCGAGCCAGGCGACGUGCGCGGUUUAUGGGAUAGGCACCACGAGCCUAUUCCAUGGGUAAAGAACAUUGUUGAUUUCGAUCUUCCAAGCAUCGAUGAUGCGUUUGACCCAACUGAGGGCGAGGCCAGAGAGGUCAUCGAGGAAUCAACCGUUGAGUUUGACGUAGAUGACACUAAAUUGGCAUCUUCCCUGAACAUGGAGCAGAGGGCCGCAUACGACGAGAUACUAGCGGCUGUUGAUUACGGUGAUGGGGGUGUAUUCUUUGUUGAUGGCCCUGGAGGUAUAGGGAAGACCUUCCUCUACAGGGCGAUGCUUGCCAAGGUGAGGAGCGAGGGCAAGAUUGCUAUCGCUACCGCAAUGUCGGGCGUCGCCGCUUCUAUCAUGCCUGGCAGCAGGACUGCCCACUCGAGGUUCAAGAUCCCAUUGAGCUGCGAUGAUGGAGCCUCGUGCAGUUUUACCAAGCAGAGUGGGACCACCAAGCUGCUAAGGACGGCGUCAUUGAUACUAUGGUGCGAGGCCAGCAUGACUAAGCGACAAGCGGUCGAAGUAUUGGACAAUAGCAUGCGCGACAUCAUGGGAAUACGCGACUGA